rnacentral:lncRNA from 1 species
CCGUCUUUUUCUGAGAUGCCCCUCUCCAACCGAUUCAGAGUUCCUUGUUUACUCUAUGCAGUCUGCUGCUACCUACUACCCUGACUGUCCCCUCCAUCCCCUCACUUUCCUUCACACUGUCCUUGGAGAUUUCGGAUUUGGAACAGACUUGCCGGUAUAAGCCAUCUGAUUCACAUUUGCUCCAAUUUCGCAGGACCUUCCAGCUCACUUGGCCCAGCUUCUCCCGCCCCCGAUCUGCACCAGAGACCAUCGUCAACAAGAGCAGCACUAGAGGAGGUGGAGUGAAUCAUCCAAGAGCUCAGGGCUAAAGAUAAAUCUUGCCGGGUCGUCCCUUCUGAAGUAUUGGAAUAUGACUCUGGGAGCCCUGAUACAACAAGUGAGGCGGGCCAGGCCCCAUCAGAUGUUCCAGGUCACUUGGACCGGCUUUUCCCUACCCAGCUUCUCAACAGAGACCGUCAUCCCCGGGGGUGGCUCUAGAAGAAUUGGAGCAAAUCAUUCAAGAGCUUAGUGCUAAAGAGGAAUUAUGCCAGGCCCUUCCUCCUAAUGUACUGGAUAAUUUCUCUGGAGGACCCUACCCGCCAAUCACAGUGGAGCUGGUCCAAACAGAACACUCCAGCUCAUUUGGACCACCUGCUCCUGCUUCAGCUCCGCAAUGGAUACCGUCGUCACUGGCAGAGGCACAAGAAGACUUGGAGCAAAUCAUUGAAAAGUUCAUCGCUAAAGAUGAAUCCAGUUGGGCCCUCCCUCCUGAUUUAUUGAAUAUUCUCUCUGAAGGAUCCUAUCCACCAAAUGCCGUUGGGCAGAACCCAUCAGCACUGUCGUCCGCCAGGACCUGCCCCGAAGCUCUCAUACCAAAUUUUCCUGCACCCAAUGCAUUCAUGAACAGCUACCCCAGCGGGGCGAUCCCGGGAACCAACCACAUCGUUCAGAUCAUUAAAAUCUUGCAGGAGAAGAAGAGCCGGCUUGACAGAUUCAGCGAGCAUCAACUCAGAAAAUUGUGGGCAUGGUUUGAAGUCACGCCAUAUCUGACGACUGAACAAGUUCAAUCCUUGUCUUUUCAGCUGGGUCUGACAACGCUGCCGGUUAGAAACUGGUUCCGGAAUCACAGGAAGAAAUACAAUCUGUGGAUUGCCCCAAGACUUCAGACGCCCGACCAACGCCCUUCCCUUCGUUCCUGGAAUACCAAGUCUGGAGCCGGAAGGAUGUGGAUGCAUUUUCCACCCCGCUGAUGACCAAUAUCGUUUCUGGAAGCAUCACCAUGUUAUCUGUACUCAACCAGUCCGGGAAGAUGCACUUACAAAAGGAUAUCAGUCCUCAGACUUGCAAGACUGUUCUCCAACCAGGAAGCAAUACCUCAUCUCAUCUUAUAUAAUUUUAGCCUUUUCAAAUUAAGUUGACCUGGGUCUCUAUUUCUUGUGUCCAUUCAUGAAAGCUCCUUUCUUCUGGUUUCUGUGAGGUUGGUUUAGAGUUAUGGGAGGAUUGUAUUCAUCGUGUUCAGGUUGGCCGUUGGCUGGCCAGAAACUGGCUAGGUGAAAAGUUAAUCGAGGAAGGUUUUCCUGAAGAGAAAGGUUUUCAAGGGUGCUUUGCAGUUGUGGAAGGAUCAUGUUGUUAUCUAGCUUGUUGCGCUAUGAAUGCAAAUAAGUCCCGAACUUCAAAAUUGACUUUUUCACCUUAGGAAUUUCCUAAUCUGCCAUGGGAGCAACUUGGGAGCAUGUGCAUGGACUAUACAGGUUCAGGUGAACGAAACCAGGCAGAAUAGCCACGGAUACUCGGGUCUUCAGUUCCUCUAAAUAAGAAAAGAACAUCUGAACCAGGAAUGCCCACAGUACACCAGGAAUGUCGUGAAACUCAAGGACUCACCACGUGUUGGCAGAGAGGGAAAAAGGGAGGUGUCAUUUUUGUUGAACAGGAGCAGUCAGGUGCAGUAGAGAUGCAGCAUGACAUAGUGGAUAGAGAGAGCAUGGCCUUGGGAAUCAGAAGACGUGGGUUCUAAAUCCAGAUCUGCCAAUUUUCUUCUGUGUGUGACCUUAGGCAAGUCACUUCACUUCUCUGUGAGUCAGUUACGUCGCGCGAAAUGGAGAUGCAGACUGUGAGGGCCACAUGGAACAGGGACUUUGUCCAACCAGAUUUGCUUCUAUACAACCCAGCACUUAGUAUAGUUCCUGGCACAUAGUAAGCACUUAACAAAUGCUAUUACUACUAUUGUUAUUAGUAGUAGCAAAUGGCGUGGCUCAGUGGAAAGAGCACGGGCUUUGGAGUCAGAGGUCAUGGGUUCGAAUCCCGGAUCGGCCACUUGUCAGCUGUGUGACUUUGGGCAAGUCACUUAACUUCUCGGUGCCUCAAUUACCUCAUCUGUAAAAUGGGGAUUAAGACUGUGAGCCCCACGUGGGACAACCUGAUUCCCCUGUGUCUACCCCAGCGCUUAGAACAGUGCUUGGCACAUAGUAAGCGCUUAACAAAUACCAACAUUAUUAUUAUUAUUAUAAUUACUACUACUGUUAUAAUUAUUAUUAGUAGUAGUAUUACAUAAUGGUCCACAAGCUGAAACAGUCAGUCGAGGAGAUGGCAAGGGAAAGGAAGAGAGAAAGAAAGUGAAAAAAAGGAAAGGAUGGGAGAAGGAAAAGAAGGAAGAAAAAAAGAAAAAACGAAGAAAGAAUAAAAGGAUUUAAACCUCUAUUACUAAUUUGAUCUCGAGUCUCCUGACUUAUCAUAACCUUUCAAUGUACUCACUGACGUCUUUCCCACAACCCAAUUUUCCCAUUAGCAGGCUGAUGCAGUUCUAAAGAUAGGACAUAUAAACAGGGGUUGUAUUGGCAUGGUGGCAAUUUGCUGGAGAAGAAAUCAAGGAUUUUCUCAGUAUUGUGAAGGUUUACCCUCCAGGGUUCCGAGAUAAAAUCAACAAGUGGAUUGAAUGAGGCAGCUGAGCCAAGAAUAGACAAAAUAAGACAAGAUCAGAGGCUAGAGGGAAAUAAGAUGUUGAUGCAUUUGAGGUGACCAUCGUGCCUAAACAGGGGUGUUGAAUUGUGCCAAAGGGUCCCACUCAUUACUGGUGUGUGGAUAUUCGCCUUUGGCUUGAUGAGUAGACUACUGUGUCAGCCUUCUCUCUGACCUCCCUUCCUCCUCUCCCGCCCCGCUCCAGUCUAUUCUUCACUCCGCUGCCCGGCUCAUCUUCCUGCAGAAACGAUCUGGGCAUGUCACUCCCCUUCUUAAACAACUCCAGUGGUUGCCUAGCAACCUCCGCUCCAAACAAAAACUCCUCACUCUAGGCUUCAGGGCUCUCCAUCA